GGCCGGGAAUUACGGGCCUAACACUGUCACCCAGCAGACACAGAGGAACACUGUCACCCAGCAGACACAGAGGAAUAUACACUCUCUGUGCCAGAAAGAAAUCUCCUGGGGAAUCUUCACAGUUAUAACGGUAAUCACGCACAGAACGAGCAGUAUGGCUGGUGGCAUUGUCAUGCUGGAGGGUCAUGUC